CGUCGCCCCCGAGGGCUCCGAUGUCGCUGCGCAUGCGUGAGCUGAGAGAAGAUGAGAAAGGAGAACAACUCUCCUUUGCCGGAUGUGACGUCACAUUAUUGCUUGUUUUUUGCUUUUUGAAAUAGCUACUCUCCAACUCAGACACUAUGGUUCGCGCCUCGUUCGCGCGCGCAUUGUGAGCAUUCAAGUUUCGUUUUUUGCACUUGCUUAGUAGCUGAAUGCGGACAUUGCAGGGUUGGGUUUGAUGACAUUUGUUGCUCAGCUGCCGCGACACAUUUGGAGCAAAGCUUCUGCUUAUUUCCUUUGGCCGCACCUUAUAUUUGUUGUCUUUGUCAACAUCUGACCUGUUUCUGCCUUGUUGAAAGCAAGUGGCCACAAGUACUGCUUAGUUUGCUCAGUCUAAACCUGGUAGUGCAUCCAGUUUAGCGCCGUGCACAUGUGUGGGGCAUUUCCUUGUUCUUAUUGUGCUGAUGUGUCGUGUUGUACAUAGGAGGAAAGCCGGUCCUCCACAAUAUGGUUGUCAGUGUUGCUGAAUACAACACAGUCUUGCUGCCUUGACACGCCACAUCAUUUGACAUCUUGGGGCUGCUGUGUUUCAGCUAAAUCUGCUUUUCCUGUGUCCAGUGGCCUUGUCGCUCAAUUAGUGCUUGCCAAUUUCCAUUACACUGCAACCCACUAAAAAUAUGAAAUUUUAGAAUAUGAUGCCUCCCCUCUCUUCCCUUGUCCUUCUGACCUUUCACUCUGCUGCAAGCUUUUAGAUUUCAAUGCUUAAAUGAUUAAUACAAACAUUGAUGCUACCAUAUUAUUUGAUGGCUAUCAUGAUGGCAAUAAUUUAGGUUAACCUGAAACUAAAUGAGAAAAAUUAAAAUAGGCAUGUGUGAGUAGGACUGACUGUUCCUGGUUUCUGGCUCUAUGCUAAAUUUGAGGUCUUUGCCUCAAGGAAAUGGGUCUUGGAUUCUCAGACCCUUUUUGUGAUCCUGUGCCUGUAUCAGACCUGAUAUACAGUCCCGGAAGUUUUACAAAAAGGAGCACCUUUCUUUUGGGGAACUGCUUUUUAUCACAAGUGUGCUAGAUAGCGCCAGUUAUGCUAUGAGCAGGCACAACUGCAGGUACAAACUAUAGUAUGUAGUUUAAAAUAAUUUCACAUCUAUUUGUGAACUUCCCAGGCCACUUCACAACUGCAAGCUGAAUCUGAUGUAGGCAGUGUCAGGGUCAUGGCCCAUAUUUUAGUGAACGCCAAGAAUGCGUCCUGUGACUGAAGUUUGAGCAUUUGAGCCCACCUUUUGGAAGUGCUUUUUAUGUGCACUCACUGCAGUCAGAUGUGCUGUAUAUUGGUGGGUGUCCGGAAUCUUGAGAUCCAGACAGGCUGCCACUGGAAGUCCCUUGGGUCAGGUGAUACCUCAAAUGCCUCCAAAUAUUUCACUGUAUAAACCUUUAUAGAAUGAGAAACUUGUCAAGAGCCAAGUUGUUACACACAAAAGAAAACUGUCACUAAAUAGUGACCAGUUUCAUUUCUUUUGUAAGCCACAGGUUGUGUGCAUUUGACAUUGCUGACCAACUCUUAUCUACUCUCCGAUACAAUAUCCAUACUCAUUGUAUAUAUAUUAAUAAAAAUACAUAUAAGAUUGAUCUGGUCAGAAAGAAUUGCCAUUUUGGGAGGGGGUAGGCUGGAGGACAAUUUGUCAUUCCUUUCUCUUCUCUGUGAUCGAGCUGAUCAACUUCACUACAAUGGUAAACGUACUGCAGUUCCCUGCAUUCACAUAUGUUUUCAGAGAAAACUAUUGUGUGGAGCCAUGUUUGUGGUAAUGCAAUGCAAGAUAUAUGCUGUGUCGCGUGACUCUUUAGUAAGAUAUUGUUAAAUUCGAGUUGUGACCAAUCUUGCUGCUCUUUAUCUGGUUCCUGGUGAGUUCGUGGAAGUUCAGGUCACGUGAAGAUACUCGAUGAAGUUUCUCUGCGAAGUCCUUUUAAAACUCUAGCAGCUGGCAUCAUAAAGUAAGUAUGUAAAUUGAGAGAAAAUGUACAUGAUACAGAAUAGUUCAUUUUCGCCUGCCCUCUUUGUUUUAUUUCUGGAUCUGCAAUGAACAGAUCCACAGCUUGCUCACAGGCAAGUAGGCAGUGGCUUUCUCAGCGAUGCUAAUAUCUCUAUUCUAGUGAAAGACAAUGUAAGCUACUGUUUUUGCAAGCAUUCCGCAAAUGCGGCUCGCCAUCAAGCACAAACUUUUUAUGUCUAAAAAAAUAACUUGGAGAAGUAAAUGCCCAGUAUUCUUUUUUAGCUUUCAGUAAGCUUGCCAUAUAGCUCAGUGUUAACAUGCAGGUUAGGUUACAGAAAGCAAUAAUAAACGACAAUAAACACUGCUUGGAUGGCAAAAAACGUGAAUCAUAUCACUUUUUUGGCAAUGACUUUUUGGGAAAUAGGAGGCUAAGCAAUUGGUGAUAUGGCUACACUGUAAAGAUUGGAUAAGAUGGAUGACUGAAUCUGCAACAGAACAUUUGUGGACAUUGUGUGAGCCACAUUUUCCAUGCUUUUUUCGCCGACUAAGCGAGACUACAUGCAGUGAGGCAGCAUAGCUUACUUUUCUAUGCUUUUUUGCUGACUAAGCAAGACGACAUGCAGUGAGGCAGUAUAGGUUACUUUCCUGGUGCAUCAGCAUGGGCUUUCUACAGUUGACUUUCGUUAAUUCUACCCUGACGGCACCAACGAAAUUGAUCCAAUUAUCCGUGGGUCGAAUUGAACAUUAAAAAAAAUGCUAAAACACCGCUGAUUCAUAUGGCAGUAUGUAAUUGACUUUAAGACGCCUCCGAGACAAACGUGCGCCAACUUUCUAUUUUUCCAAACUAUAAAACUGAAGUGCAAAUGACAUAAAACUUCAAACCCAAGUAUAAACCUAACGCAU